GGAGUUUGAUCCUGGCUCAGAGUAAACGUUGGUGGUAUGCAUUACACAUGCAAGUCGUACGAUUUUUUGAGCGGCUCGUCGCAAGGCGGGUUCGCACUUAAUUUAGUGGCGUACAGGUGAGUAAUGAAUAGGUAAUCUACCUUAUGGAUGUUGAUAAUUGAAAUAACUUUCUUGUAAACAACAAUAGCUUAGUUUUAACACAAGUUUUAACUAAUAAAGUAAUAAUAUUAGCCAUAAGAUGAGCUUAUUUUAGAUUAGAUAGUUGGUGUGGUAAUGGCGCACCAAGUCUAUGAUCUAUAGCUAUCCUUAAAGGGUGAAUAGCCACACUAGAAUUGGAAUACAGUCUAGCUUCUUGCGGGAAGCAGCAGUGAGGAAUAUUGGACAAUGCGGGAAACCGUGAUCCAGCAAUACCACGUGAAUGAUGAAGGCAUUAAUUUGUCGUAAAAUUCUUUUAUAAUACAGAAUACUGAUCAUAUUAUGAAUAAGCGCCGGCCAACCUUGUGCCAGCAACCGCGGUAAGACAAGGGGCGCAAACGUUACUCGGUUUCAAUGGGUUUAAAGGGUGCGUAGGUGUUUGUAUAAGUCUGAUGUUUGGAAGCAGCAUAACUGAAGAAAGGCGUUUGAUACUGUACAAAUUGAGAUUAAUGGAAGUUAAUGGAAUUUUUAGUGUAGAGGUGAAAUUCGUAGAUACUAGAAGGAACACCAGGGGCGAAGGCGAUUAACUAUUUUAAUCUGACACUGAGGCACGAAAGCGUGGGGAGUAAAAAGGAUUAGAGACCCUUGUAAUCCACGCCCUAAAAGAUGAGUAUUUGAUAUCGUAAAAUUUAUGAUUUUAUGGACGUCUAAGCAAAAGCAAUAAAUACUCCACCUGAGUAGUACGAUCGCAAGAUUAAAACUCAAAGGAAUUGACGGGAGCUCGCACAAGUGGUGGAACAUGUGGUUUAAUACGAUGGUCCUCGAAGAAUCUUACCAACCCUUGACAUGCUAUUGACAAAGUAGGCAACUACUCUUUCUAGCAAUAGACAAUAGUACAGGUGUUGCAUGGCUGUUUUCAGUUCGUGUCGUGAGACGUAUGAUUCAGUUCUUUAACGAACGAAACCCCUGAUCCUUGUUGCUAAUGUAAUUUUACAUGCACUCUAGGAUAGUAAAUAUUUAUAUUCUGUAUAGAUAUGGUAAUUGGGAUAACAACAGGUCUUCAUGGCCCUUAUGGGUUGGGCUACACACGUGUUACAAUGGUAGAUACAAUAAGAAGCGAAAAGGCGACUUGGAGCAAAUCUAGAAAAUCUAUCCCAGUCCAGAUUGCUUUCUGCAACUCGAAAGCAUGAAGAAGGAAUCACUAGUAAUCGUGAAUCAGCAAUGUCACGGUGAAUACGUUAUCGAGCUCUGUACACACCGCCCAUCAAGCUAUGGGAGGUAUGCUUAUUUGAAGGCAAUUUUAUAUUGUUCAGAAUAGGUGUAGCGACACUAGUUAAGUUGUAACAAGGUAAGGGUAGGAGAACCUGUACUUU
rnacentral:rRNA from 1 species